rnacentral:rRNA from 1 species
UACGAAGGGUGCAAGCGUUACUCGGAAUUACUGGGCGUAAAGGGUGCGUAGGUGGUUUGUUAAGUCUGCUGUGAAAUCCCCGGGCUCAACCUGGGAAUGGCAGUGGAUACUGGCAAGCUAGAGUGCGGUAGAGGGUAGUGGAAUUCCCGGUGUAGCAGUGAAAUGCGUAGAGAUCGGGAGGAACACCAGUGGCGAAGGCGGCCUUCUGGACCAGUACUGACGCUCAUGCACGAAAGCGUGGGGAGCAAACAGG